CCAUAUAGUUAGUUUUUGCUUGAUCAUUCAUCCCUAUUUCAAUACAACCUUCAUCCAAACACAUCCAUUCUUCCUUACAAACAAACCUUCAAACACUCACCAACACCUUGUGCCGUAACAAAGGAAGGGAAGGAAAUUGCUUGGACGUGCUUGCUGUCCAACUUGGAUCGUUUGAGCGUUUAGGUGUUUUCUUUCUUUUGUUUCUAAUGUUUAAAUUCAUUUCCUUUUGUUUUGUUGUAAAUAUGAGUGGCUAAACCCCUCUUGGCUAGGGGUGAUUUUAAAGCCAUGACUAUGUGUGCAAUAUAAUUUGAUAAAUUCCAGUUAUGAACUCUUGAAUCGUGAAUGCAAUUGGCUUAACGAUUUAAUUGAUAACUUAUUUGUAUUUGUUGAUUAAGGGUCGACAUUUAAUUGGCAUGCAUAAAUCCGAUGCUAGAAUAUAAGAAAGUUUCACAUAAUCGUAACAAACUUGUAUUCAUAAGUAGUGGAGGUCGCUUAUAAACGAUCGCGUUAAGUUCAAUUCCUAGCAUAAGUGACAUGAUGUCAUAGUUGCAAGUGCUUUGUCAAUGCUUAUGAUUUUCAUUAAACGUAAUGAUCUUUGAUUGUAUCUCUAUUACGAUGUCAUGUAGGGAACUUUUGAAGAAUGUUUUGGGUUGUCGAAUGAUGUCAUCCAAUCCAAUAAAACAAGGAAAAUCUAAGAGUUAACUAGUGAUGUCAUGGUUAAUUUGGAGCAUUGUCAUUCAUAAUUCAAUGAAGUAGUAAUUGGAAAUCGAGUUAUUUGCAUACAUGUCAUGUGUGGAGAAAAAGCCUCUAGCUAUCCCAUCCAUCAUCUUAUUUCUCACAUUCGUUUUACAAUCUGUCUAGUUUUCAUACUUGUUUGUUUGUUUGUUACAACUUCAUCCAAAUCAAAACCCCCCUUUUAGUUUCUUGUUUCAAAGUGUUUCAAAUCUAGUUUAGUUUGUGUUUUUAAGUGUUUUGAUUCAAGUAAAAGUCAAUUUUCUUCCAAAGUCAUUCCUAGUGUCUAGUUUAAGUUUAUUUAGUUGUUUUAAGCUGUUUUGAGUAUUUUAAGUUUGCUUUGAGUCUUGUGAGUCAUGUUAAGUGUUUUUAAGAUUGUUUUAUUUUUUUGAGUCAGUUUAGAGGUUAUUAGCAAGCCCUCCUAAUCCCCAGUCCAGAACGAUCCCUACUUAUACUUAUAUUACAAUUGUCAAAAGAGGGUUAAAUUUGUGUGUUAAGUUAAUUUUCGCAUCACAACCCUAUGACAAGCAGCAGACAUAACGUAAGCUCUCCAGCGAGAGAGGAUAAACUAAUCACCCAUGUGACAAGCAGAAGAUGCCUCUGCCCUGCAGACAUGGUGUACUUUUAUGACAAGCAGAAGAUGACAUUUGCCCUGCAGACAUGGUGUACCCAUGUGAUAAGCAGAAGACGCCCUCUACCCAUUCAGACAUGGCAUGUACUCUCCAAUACAAGAGGGUAAACUAAUCCGGAAUAUCCAGACGUGGAUAUGUGGUACGACUGCUCAGUUUCCCCUGAAUAUAGCGUUACUUAAGCCUAACAAGUCCCAAAAUUGGCCACGAUAAUCCUUCUCCUGGAAUAGACUUAGCCAACUGAAGGAUUCAAUUAUGCGGGAUCCCAGGUCUCUAACCGGAAGAGACGCUAAGUGUAAAACCCCUUCCCAUGAAAGAAUUCGCGUGACAAGAUGGUCCACCCUCGACAUGCAAAUCUUCAUGAAGUGACUUGGUUUUAAAGUGUUACAAUACUAGUUAAGCAACCUGCGGAAUCAAAGUUGUGACUCGGAAAGAUAUGGCCUCUGAGGCGCGAUUUCACCUAAACCUCAUGCCUAAAACGCCUCUGAGAGCCAGGGACGAUGCCUAAAGUGGUUAUUUUGGUCGUCUGCUUUUGUAAGUAAGACGCCCAACCGACUACCCAAUGGCUGGCAGCCCAAGGCAAUCUAUAAGCCGAGACUUACGCCUGUUAUGAUUAUGCAGACUCGCCUUUAUACGAAAAGAAAAAGUCUGGCAGAUGACUCUAUAAGUUAAAAAUCUCGCAACAUGCCCCGGAAAGGUCGAAGCUCAAAAAACCACUCGAAAGUUAGAAUACAACCAUAGUGGCCACGCGAACUCCUCUGCUUUCUAUGCGAAGUACGUGUUCGAUUGUUGACCCUAUCGGUUAAAAAUUUCGCAAUACACCUUGGGAAGCUCACGAAGCUAUCCAAAGCCGUGAUUCAUAACUAUAGUAGCUACGCGAACUCGCCUGCUUCCUUUGGAGGUAAUGAGUUCGGCCGCCAGCUCUAUAAGUUAGAAAUCUCGCAUUUGUCCUCUUGUAGGUAAAACUCUAUGAGCAUCAAAGCCAAAAUUGAAGCCUAAAGUGACCACUCGAGUCAACUG
rnacentral:lncRNA from 1 species